rnacentral:tRNA from 1 species
UGGGAUGUGGCCAAGUGGUAAGGCUCAUGAUUUUGGUUCAUGCAUUCGGAGGUUCGAAUCCUCCCAUCCCAG